rnacentral:rRNA from 1 species
CCAAGGAGUCUAACAUGUGCGCGAGUCAUUGGGUCUUGCUCAGGCCCAAAGGCGCAAUGAAAGUGAAGGCCGGCCCGGUCGGCUGCGUUGGGAUCCCGCAAACUUUUUGCGGGCGCACCAACGGCCCGUCCCGAUCGCCGCGUCGACGGGGCGGAGUGAGAGCGUACACGUUGGGACCCGAAAGAUGGUGAACUAUGCCUGGGCAGGACGAAGCCAGAGGAAACUCUGGUGGAGGUCCGCAGCGAUUCUGACGUGCAAAUCGAUCGUCAGACCUGGGUAUAGGGGCGAAAGACUAAUCGAACCAUCUA